AGCCUAUGAUGAGUUGCAGACUUAUUUGCCUACAUUGUUUGAGUAAAAGAGUGAUAGCAUCUGCAAAGUUCUGAGGCUAUUCUUUUAAAUCAUACUGGAAGACUCAUAUUUGGUUCCAACUAUAAUGUGCCAUUUCUUUUAUUUAGUGUGGAUCUUCAAGGUCCGUUGCUCCAAUCAAAGCUGGAUUCGUUGCUCAAGUCGGUCGUCGGAAGGCAUGAGCAUCUAUAUGUGGAUGGUGUUGGGGUCAAUACCAACUCAACAAUAGUUGAUUAUUUGUUGACUAGAGAUUCUGCGGCGCAAUGUUGAGCAAGAUAUAUCAACGAUGCCCUUUGUCUGCAUUCAAAGGAUUCAUCUAUUGAUGUCACAAGCCUAUGAAAACUGGCGAGUGUGAAUCCUGAUCUACGACUCCCUGCGAUCAUAAUCCUGUGACUGCUGGUUAGUGUCAAAUGCAGUCUGUUAAACUUCUUGAUGCGGUCACUAAUACAAGUUCAUCAAAGUUUUGUCCGAAUGCCAUAAUUCUGUCAUAAAAUUUACUUUCUCUGUAAUACACAAUGAAUCUAAGUGUUUACUUCAUUAUUCGAUCCUUGGAAUUCAGCUGAUUCAUUCAAACAAACAUUCUCUUUAGCUUCCUCUAAAUCCACCAAUUAAAGCUGCCAUCCGUAUCAUUUAACAAGUAAAUUGUGUGAAACUGCAAAUUAAUAAACUCAUUCAAAAUUUUCAUUUGACGCGUGCAUAACUGAGGAAACCUCCUCUUAAUCUGCUAA
rnacentral:lncRNA from 7 species